AGGAGGGAAGGAUGUAUCGAGGAAGUAAACUGAUGACUCUGGUGGUGGUGCUACUGAGAGGGCUUCAUAUUCCUUGACCACAGCAUGCACUUGAGGGAGAGAGGACUCCUGGGAAGGGAUGGCAUCCACCUCGCAUGGAAAGUUGCAGAUUCAUAUAAAUGAAUAAAAAUAGCUUUCAUCCCUCUAUCAAAUGUAAAGAAGAUUUCUGUUAUGAAGAUGGAGGGACUGUUCACCUGACUUGGGUUAUGUUGAGUAGAAGAGACUGACUCUUGGAACAGAAACUACUUAAAAUGUGCUUCAAACUACUCAUCUGAACCAGAAUCUGAAAGAGUUUAACUCGUAAUUCCUAAGACCCAGGUCCUUUCUUCUACCAGAGCCGUCUCACUUCUCAGGCAUUCAGCUACAAAAAGAUGCUUUGAAGAUGCUGAGCUAAAGGAUAUAAAAGAGGAAUGAAACUGCUAAUGGCACGCUUGAAGAAUGAGAAAUCGUUCUGACAAGAACUGCUACUGUGCUCAGCUGAUGUUUUGGUGAACUGAUCCACACCUUGAAGAUGACAAGACCGAAACUGCCUCUUUGCCCGUAUUGAUUGGAAUUCUGUCACUCCUGUCACUAUUGGUAAUUGCUUCCUGAAGGCAUGUUUCAGCUUGCCAACCGAUCCAGAACAGAUGAUAUUGGCAAUAGGCCUGGGGAACCUGUUAUGGAUGCAGAAUGAUCUACAAUCACUGAUGAGCCCUGCAAGUUACCUCUUUGUGCUACCCACAUGUAUAGCUGAUCAAGGGUCUAAAACUUUUAUGAGUGUUGCAAAAAUCAGACAAAGGUAAAGAGCAUCAGCUCUCUGAAUAUCUCCAAAUGGUAGCAAGGCUCUCCUUUGACCAGGGUCAACAAAGAACUACUGGACCAUGGAGAUGUGAUGUUUACCUGGUCUUCUAGAGUAAGCAGGAAGGAAUGAUCAUGCCACCCUUCUUUUUCAUAUCUCAGUAAUGUCAUGGAUGUCUUCUGGUCCUUCAAACACUGCAAAAGCACAGUGAUGGACUGACUUGGUUUAAAAUUAUGGGGACAAUUGUUAUAACCCCUUUGUGACAGAGGUCAUAAAUUGUCCAAUAAACCAAUUGACACUAACUGGUAGGUUAAACAUGAGAGUGCUAUGACCUGUUGGGAAGCAGGCUGAAAGACAGCAUUACUGAACUGUGCCCUAAAACCAGUUUGCCUGAAGAUUUUGAACAUGGACCUAUGUUUUUCCACAUUUGAAGUAGGGUUAUCUGUGGAUAAGCCUUGCUUGUGUUCUUGCUGUGUUAAACUUCUUUGUUCAAGGGUAAGUAGGCAUUAUGUACAGACAGUGACUUAACUAAAUAAUAUCUGCAUCCACUUCUCAAACAGAGAGGGAUUAACCAAAUACUGGCAUCUUCCUGACCUCUCAAAAGCUGGAGAAAUAGAAAUGGGGGAGAGGGGGGAUGAAUUAUUGAAUUAUUAAAUGACUUCCAACAUUCUUCUGCUGACAGCAUUUUUCAUAAAGGAUUAUGUAUUCAAAAACUUGUUUAACCUCUAAAAGUUAAGCAUAACCAUAACUAACAAGGUAACUUUUUGCAAGGGCUGAAGGGCUGACUAAAUAAAUUGCUAAAACAUUAAUAUAUACAAUAUUUUCCUUAUUCCUCUCUUUCUGUGCCUGGUCUAAUUAAGGAUAGAUCCAUAAAACAGAUGUGUGGUUGGAUUUUAGCACCCGGACAAAAUCUUAUUAACUUCACUGGGACGCUGCAUGGGGUCUAUCAUGCUUCCAUGACCAGUAAAUUGUACAAGGCCUACAUUUUGACUUUGCAAUGGGGGUGCUCACAAUACAUAAAUUUAAGCAUAUGUGCAUGUUGCU